UCUACGGGAGGCAGCAGUGGGGAAUAUUGCACAAUGGGGGAAACCCUGAUGCAGCGACGCCGCGUGUGUGAAGAAGUAUUUCGGUACGUAAAGCACUAUCAGCAGGGAAGAAAAUGACGGUACUUGACUCAGAAGCCCCGGCUAACUACGUGCCAGCAGCCGCGGUAAUACGUAGGGGGCAAGCGUUAUCCGGAUUUACUGGGUGUAAAGGGAGCGUAGACGGCAGCGCAAGUCUGGAGUGAAAUCCCAGGGCUUAACCAUGGAACUGCUUUGGAAACUGUGCAGCUAGAGUGCAGGAGAGGUAAGCGGAAUUCCUGGUGUAGCGGUGAAAUGCGUAGAUAUUAGGAGGAACACCAGUGGCGAAGGCGGCUUACUGGACUGUAACUGACGUUGAGGCUCGAAAGCGUGGGGAGCAAACAGGAUUAGAUACCCUUGUAGUC
rnacentral:rRNA from 1 species